rnacentral:rRNA from 1 species
GAUGAACGCUGGCGGCGUGCCUAAUACAUGCAAGUCGAACGGGGAGUAUUAAUUUCGAUUUUUACUCCUAGUGGCGAACGGGUGAGUAACGCGUUGGUGACCUGCCCCGAAGAGGGGGAUAACUCCGCGAAAGCGGAGCUAAUACCCCAUGUGGUCUUUCAGGUUAGAGACUGGAUGACUAAAGGAGCAAUCCACUUCGGGAGGGGCCUGCGUCCCAUCAGCUAGUUGGUAGGGUAACGGCCUACCAAGGCGAUGACGGGUAGGGGGCCUGAGAGGGUGGCCCCCCACACUGGCACUGAAACACGGGCCAGACAUCUACGGAUGGCAGCAGUAGGGAAUAUUGCACAAUGGGCGAAAGCCUGAUGCAGCAACGCCGCGUGCGCGAAGAAGGCCUUCGGGUUGUAAAGCGCUUUUCUGGAGGAAGAGGAAGGACGGUACUCCAGGAAUAAGGAUCGGCUAACUACGUG